rnacentral:rRNA from 1 species
UACAGGGGGUGCAAACGUUGCUCGGAAUUAUUGGGCGUAAAGCGCGCGUAGGCGGCUACUUAAGUCGGAUGUGAAAGCCCCUGGCUCAACUGGGGAAGUGCACCCGAAACUGAGUAGCUUGAGUGCAAAAGAGGGCCGCGGAAUUCCCGGUGUAGAGGUGAAAUUCGUAGAUAUCGGGAGGAACACCGGUGGCGAAGGCGGCGGCCUGGGUUGACACUGACGCUGUAGAGCGAAAGCGUGGGGAGCGAACAGG